rnacentral:tRNA from 1 species
UCAAAAUAUGAUUUUUAAUCACUCACUAUGCAAUUUAGUUUAUGUAGAACCUUCAACU